CAAAGUUGGCAGAAUUUAUGUGAAUAACUUAGGAUUAUUUAAUAAGAUAUUAUAUAUCUUACUUUGUA
rnacentral:tRNA from 1 species